AAAUUGAAGAGUUUGAUCAUGGCUCAGAUUGAACGCUGGCGGCAGGCCUAACACAUGCAAGUCGAACGGUAACAGGAAGCAGCUUGCUGCUUUGCUGACGAGUGGCGGACGGGUGAGUAAUGUCUGGGAAACUGCCUGAUGGAGGGGGAUAACUACUGGAAACGGUGGCUAAUACCGCAUAACGUCGCAAGACCAAAGAGGGGGACCUUCGGGCCUCUUGCCAUCAGAUGUGCCCAGAUGGGAUUAGCUUGUUGGUGAGGUAACGGCUCACCAAGGCGACGAUCCCUAGCUGGUCUGAGAGGAUGACCAGCCACACUGGAACUGAGACACGGUCCAGACUCCUACGGGAGGCAGCAGUGGGGAAUAUUGCACAAUGGGCGCAAGCCUGAUGCAGCCAUGCCGCGUGUAUGAAGAAGGCCUUCGGGUUGUAAAGUACUUUCAGCGGGGAGGAAGGUGUUGUGGUUAAUAACCGCAGCAAUUGACGUUACCCGCAGAAGAAGCACCGGCUAACUCCGUGCCAGCAGCCGCGGUAAUACGGAGGGUGCAAGCGUUAAUCGGAAUUACUGGGCGUAAAGCGCACGCAGGCGGUCUGUCAAGUCGGAUGUGAAAUCCCCGGGCUCAACCU
rnacentral:rRNA from 2 species